ACACGACUACAUUAGAUACCCGGGUAGUCCCAGCCCUAAACGAUGCGCGUUAGGUGUAUCGGUGACCACGAGUCACCGAGGUGCCGAAGGGAAACCGUGAAACGUGCCGCCUGGGAAGUACGGUCGCAAGGCUGAAACUUAAAGGAGUUGGCGGGGGAGCACCACAACGGGUGGAGCCUGCGGUUUAAUUGGACUCAACGCCGGGAAGCUCACCGGAUAAGACAGCGGAAUGAUUGCCGGGCUGAAGACCCUGCAUGACCAGCUG
rnacentral:rRNA from 1 species